rnacentral:rRNA from 1 species
GACGAACGCUGGCGGCGUGCCUAAUACAUGCAAGUAGAACGCUGAAGGAGGAGCUUGCUUCUCUGGAUGAGUUGCGAACGGGUGAGUAACGCGUAGGUAACCUGCCUGGUAGCGGGGGAUAACUAUUGGAAACGAUAGCUAAUACCGCAUAACAGUAGAUGUUGCAUGACAUUUGCUUAAAAGGUGCAAUUGCAUCACUACCAGAUGGACCUGCGUUGUAUUAGCUAGUUGGUGGGGUAACGGCUCACCAAGGCGACGAUACAUAGCCGACCUGAGAGGGUGAUCGGCCACACUGGGACUGAGACACGGCCCAGACUCCUACGGGAGGCAGCAGUAGGGAAUCUUCGGCAAUGGACGGAAGUCUGACCGAGCAACGCCGCGUGAGUGAAGAAGGUUUUCGGAUCGUAAAGCUCUGUUGUAAGAGAAGAACGAGUGUGAGAGUGGAAAGUUCACACU